CGAAGGGGUUAGCAGUGAAAACGCAAAUCCUCUUCUGAUCAUAUCACUGACGUAGCCGUGUCUCCUCCUGUCCCUGUAGACUCACCGACCUUCACGAGCCUUGUUGCAACAUCCCGCCGCAUACCACCAGCUGUUACAAGGGUCACAGGCAUCACCACCACUAUGCUUCGAGGCGAGAAACCUCUCUCAGCAGUGCUCCCUUGUUUUAUUGACUGGCUGAUCUCUACAACCAAGCAAGUCAGCGAUAAAACAAGCACUCUCCAUUACCCAGUUCUCGUGGCACACAAUGGAUUUUCCUUUGACUUCCCAAUGCUUUUGGCUGAGGUUGAGCGCCGUCUGGAGAGUCUGUCCACCUGUGUGCUGCUAACGUCC